AUCAUAAGUCAAAAAAUGCAUUUAAUGCACCUAAUGUACCAAACAUCAUGGCCCAGCCUAGCCUACCUUAAAUGUGCUCAGAGCACUUACAUUUGCCUCCAGUUGGGCAAAAUCAUCUGACACAAAGCCUGUCUUAGGAUAAAUGGUUAAGUAUCUCAUGUAUUUUACUGUACUGAAAGUGAAAAACAAUAGUUGUGUGGAUACAGAAUGGUUGUAAGUGUGCAGGUUGUUUACUCUCAUGAUUGCUGGCUGGCUGUCAGCUAUGGCAGCGUCACGAGCGAGGAUUGUCCCAUACAUAGACAGCCUGGAAAAAAUCAAGUUCAAAAUUCAAAGCGCAUUCUCUAAAGAACACAUCACUUUCACACCAUCCUUGAGUCAAACCAUCAUCAGUUGGAACUAAGUACAUAAAACUUACUAAACAAACUUAAAAAUCAUUUGUUGUUCAUCCAAAUUUGAAAUUGGACUAGGAGUCCUGUAUUUUAUCUUAACGACCCUACUUCAUCCUCUUCUUGUUCUCUGACCUGUGCUGGGAACACUAGCAUAUAACCCUAAACCUAUUUCUUUCUCUGUAAGCUUUUUUGGAAAGGGCAUCUAUCACAUCAGUGGUUCUCAAAGUAUGGUACUGGACUAGCACCUGGAAAACAGACAGCAAAUACACAUUCUCAGCUUUUGACCCAGUCAUACAGAAUCAGGUCUUUUGGGGGUGGGGCCCAGUGCUCUUUGUGUUUUAAGAGGACCUUCAGUUGUUUUUUUUUUUUUUGGUUGUUGUUGUUCGUUUGUUUGUUUUUUAGGGCUGCACCUGUGGCAUAUGGAGGUUCCCAGGCGAGGGGUGGAAUCAGAGCACAGCCGCCGGCCUACAUCACAGCUCACAGCAAUGCCAGAUCCUUAACCCACUGAGUGAGGCCAGGGAUUGAACCUGCAACCUCAUGGUUCCCAGUCGGAUUCGUUUCCGCUGUGCCAUGACGGGAACUCCAGGAUCCUGUAUUUUCAUUUGUUAAGUUUGGCAACUGUUCCACAGGGUUUUUGUAAAAGCCUUAUUAGCUCUAUUAACCCUGUUUUAGAGAUGAAGGAAUUGAGGCACAAAGAGAUGAAGCAACCUACUCAUGGUCACAUAGCCUGGUUUGAAUCUAGGCUGUAGGAUCCCUGAAACCUGCCCAUAAUCACUAGACACAUCCUGUGCCUGCUGUCUGUGAAUAACCCAGCAUGUGGUGCUGUGCCACCACGGGAACUCCCCUUCAGUGAGGAUUUAAAUUGGGAGAACCACUGGUUUAAACAAUCACUUCUAAGAUGUUGCCUCCCAGAUCUUUAUCAUUAACCCUGAUUUCAUACCCACACUUCCCUCUAGCAUUUCAAACUGGGAAUAUCCUGUGGAAUGUUACAAUAUGGGGGGUGGGGGUGGGAAUAGCCCUAUAGGAGUUCCUGCUAUGGCUCAAUGGGCUCAGUGGCAUUUCUGGAGUGCUGGGUUGCAAGUUCAAUCCCCGGCCUGGCACGGUGGCUCAGGGAUCCAGUGUUGUGCGCAGAUCCGAUGCCUGGGCUGGGAAUUCCAUAUGCCACAGGAAAAAAAAAA
rnacentral:lncRNA from 1 species